rnacentral:sRNA from 1 species
UGAUUUGCAACUUCUCCCACCAUGACUUCAGAGAUGGAUGAGAAAAAAGACGUGAUAUAUUAGAAAAGGGGAGGGCUUGCCAUGGAAGGUCCAAUGUUUGAAGGAGAGGGUUCUGAAUUUAGAGCAGACACAAAUUCACUGAUCCGAGAGGCAACACUAGGAUGUGUUGCUCGCAGAUAAUGUGAAAUUCUCGAGAGGAUUUAUGCGAUUCUCAGGUCCAGGCGUCCAUAUGAACAAUCUCUCCAGCUCAUCUCUACAGAGGCUAACUACUGCAGAACCUGAGAUUGCAGACACAAGUGGAAAGCUUCUAAAAAAAGUUCAAAAUUUGGCCGUAAUGCCGUUGUUGACCGACAGUUUUGACAGCCACAGUUGAACGCUCUGAUCUUAAAACUGAAUUCUUUUCAGCCAUUAAUCAGUUCACUUCUAUGGCUCAGAUUUUACCGUUGUGGAUUCCUUUUUUUCCAGAAAUCU